rnacentral:rRNA from 1 species
GACGAACGCUGGCGGCGUGCUUAACACAUGCAAGUCGAACGGAAAGGCCCUGCUUUUGUGGGGUGCUCGAGUGGCGAACGGGUGAGUAACACGUGAGUAACCUGCCCUUGACUUUGGGAUAGCUUCAGGAAACUGGGGCUAAUACCGGAUAGGAGCUCCUGCUGCAUGGUGGGGGUUGGAAAGUUUCGGCGGUUGGGGAUGGACUCGCGGCUUAUCAGCUUGUUGGUGGGGUAGUGGCUUACCAAGGCUUUGACGGGUAGCCGGCCUGAGAGGGUGACCGGCCACAUUGGGACUGAGAGACGGCCCAGAAUCCUACGGGAGGCAGCAGUGGGGAAUAUUGCACAAUGGGCGGAAGCCUGAUGCAGCAGCGCCGCGUGCGGGAUGACGGCCUUCGGGUUGUAAACCGCUUUCGCCUGUGACGAAGCGUGAGUGACGGUAAUGGGUAAAGAAGCACCGGCUAACUACGUG